rnacentral:rRNA from 1 species
UACGAAGGGGGCGAGCGUUGUUCGGAGUUACUGGGCUUAAAGCGUGCGUAGGCGGACAAGAAAGUCAGAAGUGAAAUCCCGGGGCUUAACCCCGGAACUGCUUUUGAAACUUCUAGUCUAGAAGUCGGAAGAGGUUGGCGGAAUACCCAGUGUAGAGGUGAAAUUCGCAGAUAUUGGGUAGAACACCGGUGGCGAAGGCGGCCAACUGGUCCGAAAUUGACGCUGAGGCACGAAAGCGUGGGGAGCAAACAGG